rnacentral:rRNA from 1 species
AUUGAACGCUGGCGGCAGGCCUAACACAUGCAAGUCGAGCGGGGGUAGCAAUACCCUAGCGGCGAACGGGUGAGGAAUGCUUGGGAAUCUGCCUCGUAGUGGGGGAUAACGUUCCGAAAGGAACGCUAAUACCGCAUACGUCCUACGGGAGAAAGGGGGGGAUCUUCGGACCUCUCGCUAUGAGAUGAGCCCAAGCGGGAUUAGCUAGUUGGUGAGGUAAAGGCUCACCAAGGCGAAGAUCCCUAGCUGGGCUGAGAGGAUGAUCCGCCACACUGAAACUGAGACACGGUCCAGACUCCUACGGGAGGCAGCAGUGGGGAAUAUUGGACAAUGGGCGCAAGCCUGAUCCAGCCAUGCCGCGUGUGUGAAGAAGGCCUUCGGGUUGUAAAGCACUUUAAGCGAGGAGGAAGGUUCGUUACUUAAUACGUAACGGAAUUGACGUUACUCGCAGAAUAAGCACCGGCUAACUCUGUGCCAGCCGCCGCGGUAACAC